AAAAAAAAAAAAAAAAAAACCAUAAAUAGAAUAGCGAAGUCCAAUUGGAUCGCGCGCAGAUCAAACACUUCGAGGAGCUCUCAGAGCGAAGCGUGGAAUGCGACACCCCGCCACGAGAAGAGGCGCCAUUGUUGGAUGGUCAAGCUCUCAUGGCCUCGUUCGAAGCUCUCUUCGCCUCUCCCCUUCUCCCACCAAAGACGAACCCCUUCCUCCUCUACCCCCAUGCCCUCUCCCCAAGCGUACAUGGCCCUCACCCAGGAGCUCUCCGACGCCAUGCGAGCGUGCGCGACCUCCCCCUCCUCCUCCUCCUCCUCCUCCUCCUCCAUCUCCGCCGCGCGGAGCCUCCACGCGCGCCUCAUCUCCCUCGGCCUCGCCUCCUCCACCUUCCUCCAGAACAACCUCCUCCACACCUACCUCAGCUGCGGCUCCCUCGACGACGCGCGCCGCGUCUUCGAGGGCAUCGCCGCGCCCAAUGUGAUCUCCCACAACAUGAUGAUUAAUGGGUACUCCAAGUUUGCUCAUUUGGAUGACGCGGUGAAGGUGUUCGAUGAAAUGCCCGUGAGGGAUACCACCUCUUGGAACACGCUCAUGUCGGGGUACUUCCAAAACGGACGGUUCUCGGACGCCGUAAAGGCUUUUGUUUGCAUGAACAGCUCCGCAGAUUGUGGACCAAAUAUGUUUACGCUCACGUGCACAAUGAAAGCUUGCGGCGCCCUUCGGUGUCAGGGGUUGGGCCUUCAAUUGCAUGGAUUUGUUGAGAAGUUUGAUUUUGGAAGAGAUGCGCAGGUCGAGGGAGCUCUAGUUGAUAUGUAUGUUAAAUGUGGAGCAAUGGACUUAGCUUCCAAGUUGUUUGAUCAGCUGGAAAGCCCGAACCUUUUUUUCUGGAACAGCAUGCUUUUGGGUUAUUCGAGAUUCUACGGUGUAGGACGUGCCAUCGAGUUGUUUGAUAGGAUGCCGGAACGAGAUAUUGUCUCGUGGAAUAUGAUGAUAUCAAUAUUGUCACAACAUGGACGAGAUAGCGACGCCCUUUCCAUGUUGAAAGAUAUGCGUAACAAUGGUCUAGAACUUAAUUCUACGACUUACACGAGCAUUCUUAGUGCAUGUGCUAAUGUCUCUAAUUUGGAUUGGGGUAAGCAUCUUCAUGCUCAUAUAAUCAGAACCCAACUGGGAAUAGAUGCAUUUGUUGGCAGUGCGCUAGUCCACUUGUAUGCCAAAUGUGACGAUCUGAAGGCAGCAAAACGAACAUUCGACUCCUUAACUGACCGCAACACUGUAUCAUGGACAUCUCUUAUCGGGGGAUUUGCUACUUAUGGGUACAUCAAUGAGUCUAUAGAUUUGUUUAAUCAGAUGAGAGCUGAGUUUCUCACUUAUGAUGAAUUCACGCUAGCAACUGUGAUAAGUGCUUGCUGUGGCAAGGUGGAUGUAUGCCUUGGGAGUCAGUUGCAUUCACUUUCCUUGAAGAGUGGCUGUGAUUUAGCUAUUCCUGUGUCUAAUUCGCUCAUCACAAUGUAUGCAAAGGGCGGUAGUGUUCAGAGUGCUGAGUUGGUCUUUGAUUUAAUGGCCGAGAAAGAUGUCAUAUCGUGGACUAGCAUGAUAACUGCAUAUUCUCAGGCGGGGAAUAUAAAUAAGGCCUGCACAUUCUUCGACAAAAUGGCUGCUAAGAAUAUAGUCACUUGGAAUGCAAUGUUGGGCACGUACAUACAAAAUGGGGAUGAAGAAGUGGGCCUCAAAAUGUACUCCGCCAUGCUUAGAGAAAAUGAUGUGAGACCAGAUUGGGUUACAUUCGUGUCGUUGCUUAGUGCUUGUGCUGAAAUAGCUGCAGUUAAACUUGGCAAUCAGAUCAUUGCCCAUACCAUUAAAGUGGGGCUUAAUUUGGAUAACUCGGUGGCUAAUGCUGUUAUCACAAUGUACUCGAAAUGUGGAAAGAUAGCAGAAGCUCGAGAGGUUUUCGAUUCAGUUAUAAAUAAGGAUUUAGUUUCUUGGAAUGCUAUGAUAACUGGAUAUGCGCAGCAUGGCAUGGGAAAGCAAGCAAUAAAGAUUUUCGAGAGUAUGUUAGCUAAGGGAAUAAAGCCAGAUUAUAUAAGUUAUGUUGCAGUUUUAGCAGGUUGUAGUCACUCAGGACUUGUACAGGAAGGCAAAUUUUAUUUUGACUCCAUGACUAGAGUUCAUAACAUAUGCGCAGGUUUAGAGCAUUUUUCUUGCAUGGCAGAUCUUCUUGGCAGAGCAGGGCUUUUGGAAGAAGCUAAAAAUUUCAUAGUCAAUAUGCCAAUCCAACCUAGUGCUGAAGUUUGGGGAGCUCUUCUCGCAGCUUGCAAGAACUAUGGCAAUGCAGAACUUGCAGAGCUUGCCGGGAAACAUCUAUUAGAGUUAGAUUCAAAAGAUUCUGGAAGCUAUAUGCUUCUGGCAAAGAUAUAUUGUGAUGCUGGAAAGUCAAACGAUUCUGCACAAGUAAGAAAACUAAUGAGAGACAGAGGGAUUAAAAAGAAUCCUGGGCAUAGCUGGAUUGAGGUUGAGAAUAUGAUUCAUGUUUUUAAAGCGGAUGAUGUUAGCCACCCUCAAAUUAUUCAUAUUCAACGAAAGCUUGAUGAACUGAUUGAAAAGAUUGAAGCUGUUGGGUACAUUAAAACAAUGAGCUUACGAUCAGAGAGACAUCAUAGUGAGAAACUAGCUGUGGCCUUUGGACUAAUGAGCUUGCCUACUUGGAUGCCCAUCCAUAUUAUGAAGAAUCUUCGGAUAUGCAGUGAUUGUCACACCGUAAUCAAGUUAAUAUCAUUGAUUGCUGGUAGGGAAUUGAUAGUUAGGGAUGGCAUUCGCUUUCACCAUUUUAGAGAAGGAUCUUGCUCUUGCAGUGACUACUGGUGAAGUGGAGGUUGUUCCUUCACCUUUUAUGUUUUACUCAUUUAUUCUUUGUUACCCAACAAUUGCAUAAAUUAUGCUUACAGAUACACUGAAUCUUUUAAGUUUGAUUGGGUUGCAGCAUUUUCUUUCUUGUCUAUGCAGGCAACAAUUGACAGAUUGAGAUAGUUUUUGGCCCACUCCUCAAGUGAAAUGGUGGAAUCCAAGAAGCACUUUGGAUUAUCUUUCAAGAUAAGUGGAGAAACAUCAAAUGGGGCUUCUUCUUCGGCCAUCUCAGCCUGAAUCUUCAGAGCCUCCACUGCCAUGGCCUCCAUCUUUUGCAGAGAGAACCCCAAGAUUUCUUCUAUCAUCAUAGGGUCCUUCUUUGUACUCCAAAUUCCCGUGGAAAUCCUUUGCUUUCUACCUUCGCUCAUCGCUGCAGCCAUCUGUUUAGCAAUCAGGAUUGUUCUAGUUGCACUCGAGCUUCCUACUUCCUUGUUCCUCCCACUUAUGAUGGCCGAUGCAAUGCCCUCGAAUGCUAUCUUUUCUGCACUUUUACCCGUCAAUUCGUCCAUAUCAACCAAUGAGAGCAAUUUAGAACUCAGCUCUUCAGAUCCCAUGGCAGCUAAUCUCUGAAAUACUUCGAACCCACUUACUAGCUUCUGAUUCUUGAAGACGAAUGGUCUCGAGAUAUGCAUAGCCAGUUUUGGACUCUCUUUCCUUGCUACUUCUAUAUUAAAUGGAUUCGUUGAAAUUAAGAAGCCUCCAUCCCGCGUACAAAUGACGGAGCCCAGACCCUUCCCUAAAUCCGGAAGGAGAACCUUCACUUCACCAUCUUUUUCACCAUCUCCUGCUAAUUUUGGGGAGAGAAGCUCUUGUUUCAGCUGCUUAUUAUCUUGCAUCUUAAGCAUUCGGAGGUACUCCCUUGUCAUUCUCUCCUCUUUAGCAUCUAAUUGCUGCUCUUGGGAUCGUUGUAGUGAUAUAAUAGGAUCUGCAUUAUUUCCAAUGAUCAUUGACUCAAGAGCCUCAAUUUCUUUUGCUAUCGAGUCAAGCUCUUUAAGCCUAACCAAAUGAGCACUGUCACGAACAAUCUCUUUAACGUUUCCAUUUGAGGCCGAGGUCCCUUCCGUGGACUCCGACUGUACCUCUUCAACUUUGCUUUGUCCUUGAAUCUCGAUUCCUUUCUCAAUGACUUCAAAUUCUGGGAUAUCAAAAUCCUCCACUACUCUCUCUUGCUCUGACUUCUGAAUUGACCAGGGAUUCAAGGAUGAAAUUCCACGAUCAUUGUGAUUGAAGUAAUCAACUCCUUUUAACUUUCUCUCUGGAUCAGUGAUAGGUGAAUCUGAUCUCGUGAUACUUGGGCUCGGAGCACUGUAAGUAGACUUUGAUUGGUUCCGUGCAAUGGAGAAAGAGGAGCUCCUUCCAUGAUCCUUCGACUUUAUAACAUAAGCCUGAUUGUAGAUACCGAGGUGUCCGUCCUCCAUGAUCUGAAACCCUAACCGGAGAACUAAUUCAGCCCCCUUUGCCUUUCCAGAGAGCUCAAAAGUCCUCUCCCACUGCCGAAGCCGCUGCCCCUCCAAACUCUUUUCCACUGACUCGAGAAUCAUCGCACUCAAGUCGAUGGUUCUCUUUCCGAAACCAAGCUCAGGGGCAUCGACAGCCACCACAGAGAUAACAAAAGGGCGACCCUCAAACUUGAGUGGCUUUCCUGUGCCGCGACCUCCGCUGUAGUAGAGAUUGCACCUAAUAAAUAAGGUUUCAUCAUAGUCGGCAAUUCCUUGCAUCACUCGGGAGGGCAUUGUUUGCACAGCUCCCUCCUUGGCCUUCUCCUUCUUCCGGACCGUGACCGAGAGGCGGAGGCCGUUCAUAGAAGUUGGGAGGGAGCGGAUUGCGACUACUUCAACUCUGAACAAACACCCAAUAUGCCGCAUACCGAUGUGCGAGAGGGCUCGCAUCGGCUUCCAACCCCAUAUACCUUUCUUCUCCCCAUCCGGAGGCCGGGCCGUGAAAUUAGGGUUUUCAUCAGCAUCGGUCCCCUCACUUUCCGUGUCUGCUUUAGGUUUCGGACGGGAGCGCCAGGAAGAAAGGGGCAUGAAGCGGAAGGAGUGGCUCCAGCGGUCGGUUCGAGGAGCCCCAUCGGUGAUCUGCGGCCCAUCAGAGGCGAAGUCGGCCAACGUCGGGGCGGCAGAGCGCGGCAGGGCGAGGGAGGCGGUGCGGCGACGAUUGCCGGUGGUGGGGGGUCGGCUGAGUGUUUGACUUAAGCUCGCGAUCUCUGCAAGUAGUUCGCCGCUGGAGUUUCUUCUUCCUGGUUGAUUGGCCAUUGUCGGAAGCUAUAUUUUUGUGAGACGGUCCCGAUGAAAUCAAAGGGUUUGGAGGGUUUUAUGGUACAAAAUGGUGCUAAUUACUAACAAAGGGACUGGUGAAACGAAUGGAAGAGACAAUGGAAGCGUAAGUAUUAUGUUAUAUAGCCUGUUUCUGUAAA